GACGAACGCUGGCGACGUGCUUAACACAUGCAAGUCGAACGGAAAGGCCCUGCUUGUGUGGGGUGCUCGAGUGGCGAACGGGUGAGUAACACGUGAGUAACCUGCCCUUGACUUUGGGAUAACUUCAGGAAACGGGGGCUAAUACCGGAUAGGAGCUCCUGCUGCAUGGUGGGGGGUGGAAAGUUUCGGCGGUUGGGGAUGGACGCGCGGCUUAUCAGCUUGUUGGUGGGGGAGUGGCUUACCAAGGCUUUGACGGGUAGCCGGCCUGAGAGGGUGACCGGCCACAGUGGGACUGAGAUACGGCCCAGACUCCUACGGGAGGCAGCAGUGGGGAAUAUUGCACAAUGGGCGGAAGCCUGAUGCAGCAACGCCGCGUGCGGGAUGACGGCCUUCGGGUUGUAAAACGCUUUCGCCUGUGACGAAGCGUGAGUGACGGUAAUGGGUAAAGAAGCACCGGCUAACUACGUG
rnacentral:rRNA from 1 species